rnacentral:rRNA from 1 species
UACGUAGGGGGCGAGCGUUGUCCGAAGUUACUGGGCGUAAAGCGCACGUAGGCGGCGCAUCAAGUUACGCUUGAAAGUCAGCGGCUCAACUGCUGAACGAGGUGUAAGACUGGUGUGCUUGAGGCAAAUCGAGGAAUGUGGAACUCCGAGUGUAGCGGUGGAAUGCGUAGAGAUCGGAAAGAACACCAACGGCGAAAGCACUCUGCUGGGCCGACACUGACACUGAGAGACGAAAGCUAGGGGAGCGAAUGGG